GUUUUAAAACCCAGAAGCUGGAAACACCACUUUAUCAAAGAGAAUUUCCCUUUAGCUUAGCAAUAUGCUGCAGCUCUCAAAAGAUUGGAUCUGAAAGAAAGAGACGGAGGAGAAUGAGAGCCAGAGACAGAGAUGCAGACAAGGGAGGGAAGGGGAAAAAAGACUUUUCUUUUCUUUUUUUUUUUUUUUUCUUUCUAGAGGAAUUCUGCCCAGACUCUCCAGCAGUUGGUAGCAGGCAGGCUUUCUCCUGUGUCGCCUGGAAAAGUUGCAAAAUUGCUCUUCACCUGUAAGAACAUGCUUUUUUAUCUUCCAGUCUCUUCUUGUCAAUUUGGAAAUUGCAGACAGCCCGGCUCAGGCAUUAAGAGAAAUUGAUUAGUGACAAGGAAGAGAAGAAAACAUUGCUGGUCAGUAGGCCACGGUAUUCAAGUCCCUCAGAUAAAUGGCUCCUGGGAGGAGAGAACACAUCCAAUGUAAUCCUGACGUAUGCAGAAUUGAGUUCGGUUUGAACCCAGCCAUCAAGGGAUGAAAGAAUUUUAAAAAUGGAUUUGUAUGUGUGUGAGUUUGUAUACGUGUACACGAGUGAUGGCGCCCACAGAGAGGAGAGGACUUACAGCCUCUGUAUCUCAGAGGGUAGCGGUACUGGAUCCCUUGGAACUGGA
ensembl:lncRNA